AACGAACGCUGGCGGCAGGCUUAACACAUGCAAGUCGAGCGCCCCGCAAGGGGAGCGGCAGACGGGUGAGUAACGCGUGGGAACAUACCCUUUCCUGCGGAAUAGCUCCGGGAAACUGGAAUUAAUACCGCAUACGCCCUACGGGGGAAAGAUUUAUCGGGGAAGGAUUGGCCCGCGUUGGAUUAGCUAGUUGGUGGGGUAAGGGCCUACCAAGGCGACGUUCCAUAGCUGGUCUGGGAGGAUGAUCAGCCACAUUGGGGCUGAGACCCGGCCCAAACGCCUACGGAAGGCAGCAGUGGGGAAGAUUGGACGAUGGGCGCAAGCCUGAUCCAGCCAUGCCGCGUGAGUGAUGAAGGCCUUAGGGUUGUAAAGCUCUUUCACCGGAGAAGAUAAUGACGGUAUCCGGAGAAGAAGCCCCGGCUAACUUCGUGCCAGCCGCCGCAGUAACAC
rnacentral:rRNA from 1 species